rnacentral:rRNA from 1 species
GACGAACGCUGGCGGCGUGCUUAACACAUGCAAGUCGAACGGAAAGGCCCUGCUUGCAGGGUGCUCGAGUGGCGAACGGGUGAGUAACACGUGGGUGAUCUGCCCCUUACUUUGGGAUAAGCCUGGGAAACUGGGUCUAAUACUGGAUAGGACCAUGCUGUAGGUGGUGUGGUGGAAAGAUUAGUUUCGGUAAGGGAUGAGCUCGCGGCCUAUCAGCUUGUUGGUGGGGUAAUGGCCUACCAAGGCGUCGACGGGUAGCCGGCCUGAGAGGGUGGACGGCCACAUUGGGACUGAGAUACGGCACAGACUCCUAAGGGAGGCAGAAGUGGGGAAUAUUGCACAGUGGGCGCAAGCCUGAUGCAGCGACGCCGCGUGGGGGAUGACGGCCUUCGGGUUGUAAACUCCUUUCAGCCAUGACGAAGCCCUUGUGGUGACGGUAGUGGUAGAAGAAGCACCGGCUAACUACGUG